rnacentral:rRNA from 1 species
UACGUAGGGUGCGAGCGUUUGUCCGGAAUUAUUGGGCGUAAAGGGCUCGUAGGCGGUUUGUCGCGUCGGGAGUGAAAACCUCGGGCUUAACUCGGGGCUUGCUUUCGAUACGGGCAGACUGGAGGUAUGCAGGGGAGAACGGAAUUCCUGGUGUAGCGGUGAAAUGCGCAGAUAUCAGGAGGAACACCGGUGGCGAAGGCGGUCUUCUGGACGGUGACUGACGCUGAGGCGCGAAAGCGUGGGGAGCAAACGGG